GACAGAGGGGGCAAGCGUUGCUCGGAAUUACUGGGCGUAAAGGGCGCGUAGGCGGGAUGGCAAGUCGGUCGUGAGAUCCCUCGGCUCAACUGAGGAUCGUCGAUCGAUACUGCCGUUCUUGAGGAUUGCAGAGGAGACUGGAAUUCCCGGUGUAGCGGUGAAAUUCGUAGAUAUGGGGAGGAACACCGGUGGCGAAGGCGACAUCCUGGACCGGUAUUGACGCUGAGGCGCGAAAGCUAGGGUAGCAAACGGG
rnacentral:rRNA from 1 species